rnacentral:rRNA from 1 species
GUACACUCCUACGGGAGGCAGCAGUGGGGAAUAUUGGACAAUGGGCGCAAGCCUGAUCCAGCCAUGCCGCGUGAGUGAUGAAGGCCCUAGGGUUGUAAAGCUCUUUCACCGGUGAAGAUAAUGACGGUAACCGGAGAAGAAGCCCCGGCUAACUUCGUGCCAGCAGCCGCGGUAAUACGAAGGGGGCUAGCGUUGUUCGGAUUUACUGGGCGUAAAGCGCACGUAGGCGGACUAUUAAGUCAGGGGUGAAAUCCCGGGGCUCAACCCCGGAACUGCCUUUGAUACUGGUAGUCUUGAGUUCGAGAGAGGUGAGUGGAAUUCCGAGUGUAGAGGUGAAAUUCGUAGAUAUUCGGAGGAACACCAGUGGCGAAGGCGGCUCACUGGCUCGAUACUGACGCUGAGGUGCGAAAGCGUGGGGAGCAAACAGGAUUAGAAACCCGUGUAGUCCC